GCUGGGGUGGCCGAGCCAGGCUAAAGGCGCUGGACUUGAGAUCCAGUUCCACGAAAGACGUUUGUAAAAACGGUUGAAUGGAGCGCAGGUUCGAAUCCUGCUCCCAGCGCCA
rnacentral:tRNA from 1 species